GACGAACGCUGGCGGCGUGCUUAACACAUGCAAGUCGAACGGUAAGGCCCUUUCGGGGGUACACGAGUGGCGAACGGGUGAGUAACACGUGGGUGAUCUGCCCUGCACUUUGGGAUAAGCCUGGGAAACUGGGUCUAAUACCGGAUAGGACUACGCGAUGCAUGUCGUGUGGUGGAAAGCUUUUGCGGUGUGGGAUGGGCCCGCGGCCUAUCAGCUUGUUGGUGGGGUGAUGGCCUACCAAGGCGACGACGGGUAGCCGGCCUGAGAGGGUGUCCGGCCACGCUGGGACUGAGAUACGGCCCAGACUCCUACGGGAGGCAGCAGUGGGGAAUAGUGCACAAUGGGCGCAAGCCUGAUGCAGCGACGCCGCGUGGGGGAUGACGGCCUUCGGGUUGUAAACCCCUUUCAGCACAGACGAAGCGUAAGUGACGGUAUGUGCAGAAGAAGCACCGGCCAACUACGUG
rnacentral:rRNA from 1 species